UAGUGAGUUUGAUCCUGGCUCAGAACGAACGCUGGCGGCAUGCUUUACACAUGCAAGUCGAACGGCAGCGCGGGGCAACCUGGCGGCGAGUGGCGAACGGGUGAGUAAUAUAUCGGAACGUACCCAGAAGUGGGGGAUAACGUAGCGAAAGUUACGCUAAUACCACAUACGAUCUACGGAUGAAAGUGGGGGACCUUCGGGCCUCAUGCUUUUGGAGCGGCCGAUAUCUGAUUAGCUAGUUGGUGAGGUAAAGGCUCACCAAGGCGACGAUCAGUAGCUGGUCUGAGAGGACGACCAGCCACACUGGAACUGAGACACGGCCCAGACUCCUACGGGGAGGCAGCAGUGGGGAAUAUUGGACAAUGGGGCGCAAGCCUGACGGAGCAAGACCGCGUGAGGGAG
rnacentral:rRNA from 1 species